AGAAAGAGAAAAUAUUACUGGAGAAAACCAUGCCAAGCCUGAGAAUGUUGAGUACCCGAGGCCAAGCUCAACAAGGCCAGGGAACUUUCCGGUUGGGGAUCCUAUGGAGAGUCUGACUCUGGAACCGGUGCUACAGACAGACGUUGUUAAAGCUGGUCAAUCCAAGUUUCUGCAGCCUCUGUGGAGGGGAACAUGCCGGCUGACAGCCUCUACUAACAGGUUGGGGCUCCCUCCUGCUGCUCCUGCCCUCCCAGCCACCAGCUCAUUGGAGCAAGACCAGGAUUAAGUAGACCUACAAGGAUCUGCACAUUUGGUCCCAGUACCUUCCCAGUUCACCCCAUAUCCCACCCACGUGGACUCCUCAUCCUCAUUUUUGUACUGCCAACCUUUGCCUGGGAAAGGCUUCUUUCUGACCCUGCUUGCCUGGAAAAGCCCAAUCAUCCUUCAAGAACCAGCUCAAAGUUCACCUCCUCUGUGAAGGCUCCCCUGAAAUAGGAGUUACUCAUCCCCACAUGCUGAUUGAAUACUGUCAGUGCCCUUCAGCCAAAGACCACCAGGAACACACCAACAGUGAGACAAGAUGCUAAAACUGAAGCCCCAGGAAUUUGACUUGUCCUGGGUGACACAGCAAAAAUGGAAGUAGGAUUCAGGACCUCGAUCCAGAGCAGGUGUGUGCAACUACCAUAUUGAAAUUCCUGUAUAAUAGACGAGCUAACCUGAAGGCGGUGGCUCAGUCUGUACCUUCCGCCUAUCUUUCCCUAGCUCUAGCUGUGCCCGGUGCCUAGAAGGUACUCACCUGCUUCAUGAGUUUGCUGGUG